rnacentral:rRNA from 1 species
GACGAACGCUGGCGGCGUGCUUAACACAUGCAAGUCGAACGGAAAGGCCCUGCUUUUGUGGGGUGCUCGAGUGGCGAACGGGUGAGUAACACGUGAGUAACCUGCCCUUGACUUUGGGAUAACUUCAGGAAACUGGGGCUAAUACCGGAUAGGAGCUCCUGCUGCAUGGUGGGGGUUGGAAAGUUUCGGCGGUUGGGGAUGGACUCGCGGCUUAUCAGCUUGUUGGUGGGGUAGUGGCUUACCAAGGCUUUGACGGGUAGCCGGCCUGAGAGGGUGACCGGCCACAUUGGGACUGCGAUACGGCCCAGACUCCUACGGGAGGCAGCAGUGGGGAAUAUUGCACAAUGGGCGGAAGCCUAAUGCAGCAACGCCGCGUGCGGGAUGACGGCCUUCGGGUUGUAAACCGCUUUCGCCUGUGACGAAGCGUGAGUGACGGUAAUGGGUAAAGAAGCACCGGCUAACUACGUG